rfam:Daphnia pulex DAPPTscaffold_235_Cont7576, whole genome shotgun sequence.
AGCAGAGUGGCGCAGCGGAAGCGUGCUGGGCUCAUAACCCAGAGGUCCGUAGAUUGAAACUACACUCUGCUA